rnacentral:lncRNA from 1 species
UAAAGCAAAGAACUUCCAGUUUUUUAUUUUUAAAAAUUAUUUAACAAGGAAAACAGUCAAUCAAGAUUUUAAAAAUUAGAGUGGAUUAAUGUACAACAUAACAGUCAACUUAAAAUAUGAGCCCCUUUACUUAGAGCCACAGAGGCCAACAGUCCUCAUUGGAACAGCAGGUGUGCACAGUUGAUGUUCUGACCUUUAUUUGACAACACGGAAAUACAAAAGUCAUACAGCUUCCACCACCUCCCUUCUCUCCAGAGUUCAAUACUUGUCUAGAGCAGUACUCAGACUUUUAAAACGCAGUUGUAUUUUUAAAAAUAUCUACAACUAAUCUCAUGAGAACACUCUUAAAACAAUUCUUAUAAAAAACAAACACCUUAAAAUAAAUUUGUGGCACAUCAGACAGCUUAAAGAAAUAGCAAAAAUAAAAACUAAUGUCUAAUGUUUAAGAAUUAUCAUCUCUCUCUCUCUCUUUUUUAGAAACCACCCAGGCAAAAUUAAUUAAUUCUGCUUCUCAUAAUUAGCAGAGAUAAUUACAUGAAGCGGAAUGCACCAUUUUCUGAUCCUUGGUUAUAGCUGCCAGCUUAAGAGUUUAUGACUAAAUACAAAGGAAGAUAAGACUAAGCUCACACAUUCUGGAAUGAGGAAAACAAACAUUUCUCCUUAUAAAGUUUUUGUCUAUCUUCAUAUUCAAGUCAUGAGAAAGUUCACAGCAGUUAAAAGGCUGAUUCUACAGGUGGCUGACUAAAACCAACCACAUCCACAUCACACGUCACACACAGCAUUCCUACAGGAACACUAGGUAAACACAGUUCUGUGUUACCAACUCACACUGUUAAGUGCUGGAGCAAACAGCAUUGAACAGGCUUACACAGGUUAGGUAUCAUAGCUCUUAGAACACUUCAUUUUCAUACUUUCCAAUGUGUGAACAAAGCUUAAAAUAACUAACUAACUGCCUUAAAGGAAUAUGUUCAUUUGUGACAGCUGGCCAGGCACUUAAAUUCAGGAAGAGAGGCUUUGCGAUUUUGAGGUAAACCAGAACUCUCUUUAGUAACCACACAUUCUAAAUCCACUUUUUGAUACCACCCCAACUACUCAGCUUUUAAGUUUGUCACUGUUGGACCAAAAUCUAUACCCUGUGGGACAUAAGCUACCAAGAGCAUCUGAAGCCUCAAUUGGCUCCUUUUGUAUAUGUAUUACUGUGCUCAGAACAAACUGGACACCAACUAAAGACAUACACAUACAAAGAAUAUGGUCAAAAGAAGCCAAGAGGAGUAACUUUCUCCCUAAACGGACACUAAGUUUAAUAGACUUUUUAGGAAUGCAAACCACACUUGAAUGGUCCCAGCAUUAGCACUGAGAAGCACAGUGUAUGUUUCUUCUCUCUUCUGAAUUAGUUCCAUGGUGAUGGGGAAUUUGCCUAACAAUGAAAAUUCAUAUUAGAAAGUAAAGGAUCAGCCAGGUGCGGUGGAUCGUGCCUGUAAUUCCAGCACAAGUUUACACAAGAGGACUGACUGCUGAGAGUUUUGAUACCAGCCAGAACUACACAGCAAGGUCCUGUCACAAAGAACCCAGAGGAUUUCAGGUUUUUAGGUUUUACAAGAACAGAAGAGAAAGUGCUAUUUUGGAAUUAGUUUCAUUUUUUCAAUCAAGGUAUUCAAUUUUACUUUUUCAUCAGAAUUACUGAGCUGAGUUUAAGUAUUAUCACAAAAAACAAAACCUACUAAUGAAUUACCUGCAAAUGGAAAUACCAAGCCCUAUAUACCAAGCAUUAAUGGCAUUUUACAUUCCUUUCUCAAACAGCAAAGAAGCCCUCUUGAUUUGUACAAAUGCAUCAGCUUUUGUUAUUUGGAACACUUAUUUAUUGACAUAUUUUAAAUACUUUUAAAAAGCUAUAUAGAUUAAAGAACAGUUAGCCGAAAGGGGAGAGAGACAGAGCUUUGAACUCUGGCUUUAGUUUCCAUGUGGCUAAAAAUAAGGGUCUGAAAUUGUAAAAAUUUCUAAGCUUAUCCCACUGCACACCAAGUGUUUCCAGUCCUGGUAUAGGACCACACUUUUAUCUUGUAGCGUUAACAGCAGGCACCAGGAAAAAAUCUGUAAGUAACGGGCAGGGAGCAAAAAUGGGUGAAUUUUUUCUGUGAUGCUAUCUGGCUUGCUCAAGUUUUGAAACCAUGACCUUGGUCCAUUAGCACCAUGGUUUAUCCAACUGAAAUAAUUAUUCAAGCCCCUGUGGGAUGCCUGAACUGUUAUAGGAUGAGGCAAGGGGGAGAGUAAGAAGGGGACUAAGGGCAACUCCCCUCUCUCUUUC